UACGUAGGGUCCGAGCGUUGUCCGGAAUUACUGGGCGUAAAGAGCUCGUAGGUGGUUUGUCGCGUUGUCCGUGAAAACUCACAGCUCAACUGUGGGCGUGCGGGCGAUACGGGCAGACUGGAGUACUGCAGGGGAGACUGGAAUUCCUGGUGUAGCGGUGGAAUGCGCAGAUAUCAGGAGGAACACCGGUGGCGAAGGCGGGUCUCUGGACAGUUCCUGACACUGAGGCACGAAGGCCAGGGGAGCAAACGGG
rnacentral:rRNA from 1 species